UACAGAGGUGGCAAGCGUUGUUCGGAAUUACUGGGCGUAAAGGGCGCGUAGGCGGUCUUUCAAGUCCCGUGUGAAAUCCCUCGGCUCAACUGAGGAACUGCACGGGAAACUGUCUGGCUUGAGUUCGGGAGAGGGAAGCGGAAUUCCGGGUGUAGCGGUGAAAUGCGUAGAUAUCCGGAGGAACACCGGUGGCGAAGGCGGCUUCCUGGACCGACACUGACGCUGAGGCGCGAAAGCUAGGGGAGCAAACGGG
rnacentral:rRNA from 1 species